ACCGGUUCCUGCUUGGGCCACCCAGAUCCCCUCCCUCCCUGCAGGGUGGAGUUGAAAAUGGAUAACAAUAAUUUGGGACCAGAAUAUCUUGAUAUUAUUAUGAUCUGGUGAUGCUUCCAAAUAGGAGAUAGACCUUUGUACCAUAUACAUGGGCAGUGAUCUGGUAUGUGGACAAGUAAGAUGAACUACUCCACCAGUUAUGUGCAGCAUCACCUUUGCAGACAAUGGAAUAUUCAUGACACUGGGUGCAGUCACCACCAUAGCAGCGAAGAGUUGCAUCGAGCACUUUUGGUCAGCAUUAGCUUGUGGUCGAAGAGUACAGAUGUGACCAGUCGCCUCUUUGCAGUCAGGAGAUUGUAAAGUUUGCCGCACAUAGGAAGUACUUGCACUAGCUGAAUCAGGCAUCUGUAUCGACGUCAGGCCUCCACUUAUAACAUUUGUGCCAGCUUAGAACCAACUAGGAUUUCUUGGAGAGUUGUCUUUCUUUGACCUUUUCUUGCCUUUGGAAUAUGGGGGUAAUACCAUUAGUGAACAUUUUGAAAAGUUAAACUGUAUCAGUUAUACUGCAACUUGGACUAAUGGAAUAAACUUUGGACAUCCUUAUAUUUAUAAUCAAGUGGUGUACAAUAUUUGCUUUGAUGUACAUUUUUUCCUUUGAUGCAAUCUGUGGUGUGGUGUUCCAGAGACCACAUUCAGAGGCAACUCUGAAUAAACAGUGUUUUCUUAGCAGUAUCCAGUUGAGCCAAUUAUUCUAUUAUCAGGGGUCCAGAUUAAGAUUGUUUGAUCAAAAUCUAUGAAAAUAUGUUACUUUAUAAUAUUUGAGUAAUCAAUUUAACAAAAAGGCAUAUGGAAUUUUUUUAUUAAUUUUUUAAAUAACUUUUGUUGUCAAAAUGUGAUAUAUCUUUUAAAUAAUUUUUUUCUUUCAGAAAUCUUUUAUAACAUUAAAAUUUCUUUCAUGAACAAAAAAAAACACUAAAAAGUUUAUUUCAGCGUGAUAUUUCAAGGAAUAAAGAAAUUACACUAGUUGGAAAUUUUCAUUACAUGUAAGGGCUAUUCCAUUAAAAAGGAGGUACUAGGGUCGGAAGGCAAUUUUUAAGUACCCCCACGACCAAGAGGAAUGUACCAUUUAUCUUAACACCAACCAACAGGAAGUCGUUUCAUAAUAAUACAAGAACCAACUGGAAUAUAUCUAACUUAUUUUAUUCUAAUUUACCACAACCAAAGGAAUUGUUAUUUAAACAUUAUAGUUGCUGGACAAUUUAGAGGGGGUGGACAGGGUCAAGGAGCUACAAUGUUUGGUUAUUACUAUGAUAUAAAGGGCUAUUUGUAUCUCUUUUUUUUAUAUUGUUCAAUUCAUACCAGAGUAUACAAUUAAAGUAAUAGUUCAAAUUCAAA